AUGCUAUUAUUUAUUUACAUCUAGAGCACUCCCGAGGUUUAUGAUGCAAUGAAUUAAUUAGAAAAUAGAAAAUACACUAUACUAAUAUGCAAUUUGUUGGGAGAGAUAAGAACUACCUUGAGGGAGGGCGAGUGAUUGAAGUUGGAACUUAGUAUAAUAUACCAUCUACAACUUGUUCAUUUGAGUCUAACGAAAGAGAUUUGUCUAUGCUUAAUACUCCAUUUGGUCCUGCUGCAACAGAAUUGUCUAUGAUAAGCUUUGUUACAUACUUACAUGUUUGAAAAGACUGGAUUUAUAAAAAUCAUGAUAACACUAUAAUUUUGUUGGACCUCAAAAUAUAGUUUUUACUAAAAUCACACUGGUACACCCGUGAUUCAGCCAAUCUUAUUGUCAAUUCAAAGAUAUACUCAGCCUGCUUCAUUAUUAUGAAGCUACACUGCACCCAUUAACAUUAAUGAGGAAACAAUGAAUCUUAUGACUAUGAGGAAACAUUGAAUCUUAUGACUAACAAUCCAACAGAUUACUUAUAACU
rnacentral:lncRNA from 1 species